rnacentral:rRNA from 1 species
GAUGGAGUACGUGCCGGACGCGGUGCCCAUAACGACGUUCGCCGAUCUCAAGCAUUUGGACACUCGAGAGCGGAUCGAGUUGUUCCUGAG